GCCCGUCGCGUUGAAGAGGUCGGCAUAGUACGACACGUUGUGCGAUGAGCCGCAUCCGUCGAUCUUCACGCCGUCAAAGCCCAUG
rnacentral:rRNA from 14 species